AAAAUCAUGGGCUAUCACUCAGUAGGAUGGCUAUAAUAACAAAAUCUGACAAUAGCAAGUGUUGGCAAGGAUAAGAAGAAAUUGGAACUCUCAUGCACUGCUGGGGGAAUGGGUGCAGCUACUUUGGAAAACAGAUCGGCAGUUCCUUGAGAAGUGAAACAUAAAGUAACCAUUUGACCCAGCUCUGCUUCUAUUUUACCAAGUAACCUCCAGAUUAUUAGUCCAGCAUGAUAUAGGGAAAGGGUGGAAAUUGGCUUGGGGGACUGGAACUUUCUGGCUUCUAGAAAGAGAUAAACCAUGGAAAAAGAAGAAUACUGGUAUUCUGAUUUAUAGUUCAGUCUCUUGUGAGUUUAGUUAGCUGCAGUUUACCACUGAAAGUCUGAUCAUCUCUGGAUUUGUUAAGUUCAUUUUCAAAUACUUAAGAGGCUGAGAGUCUUGGGCUGGUAUUUAUAAAGACCAUCUAAGCCAUGAGGUCUCUUGAAGGCUCAGGGGCUGACCUUCCCUGGAUGACACUCAUGACCUUUCUGUUUACACAUCUUUCUAACUAUAACCAAUGAGGCAUCAUGAUACAUGUACUAAAGUUGAUCUUCAGCAGCCUGAGCAAGAAUCCUGCCAGUUCUGUGGACCAACUGGCCAGUUUUUAAGUGAGACCCUUAAUAGCUAUUGACUGAUCUGACAUCAGAGUGUGGACCUUGGUCAUUUGUUUGGUUGCUUUGACUUGAGAGGGUGAAAAAUGUGCUCAGAAAUGGAAUAGUGUUUGACCCUGCUGAGAGAUUCAAUGGCCUAGAACUUGUUAUUAAGGCAAUUUUAUGUCUUUUCUGCUCUUUGGCCUGCUUUUCUGACUGGUGAGAACAUGGAGCUGUAGGCAAAGGAAGGCACAUUCUCCAAGCUAGUGGUGGAGAGGGAGAGGGGUGGACCAUGCAGGAAGUGGGAUGACUGGUAAAGUGAGUAAGAACCAUGAAAGACACAUUUUGAGGCUGUACUCUACCAUCGGGGGUCCUCAUUUAUAUAACACUUACUUAGUUCCAGCACUAGACAGAAAAAGAAGACAAACUAGUCACUUUCCCCAAGGAGUUUAUAUUCUGAAAUGUAAGGUGACUGUAUAAACUAAUCUGUUAAUAGGGACACUUACUUGGUUGUAUUUUUGGACAUGUGGUCAUUGAUUCUAAGUAUUUAAGCCAGGGUGCUGCCAGAGGUUCAGAAGGUAUGGGCUAGGGGAGGGUGGAAAGGACCCAGAUAAUGAUAAAAUUCAUGAGCUUCAACACUGAGGAUGAAAGUUCAGGCAGCAGAAUCUGGGGGUGAGAUUUGCAUAUUGACCUACGUAUGCCAUCAAAGUACAUACACACUGGAUUAUACCUUUCUGCUUCCUCAGCACCCAUCUCAAGUUUCCCCCAAGGGCCACGUAUCUUGGGAACACUGUGUUAAUCACUUGACUUGCCAGAGUGCAUAGUGGGUGCCACACUGAAAAGAAGACAAAGCUUGAUUUUGGAGGAAAGACAGGAUCUGGGGAUGGCAACUUAGGACUUGUCAGAGGAAAGAGUCAGAGGGAAAGUAAAUUAACAGAAAAUUUGGGGAUAGAUGGUGAGAAGGAAAGGAGGAGCCCCAAAAGAAGAGAAGUUGGUCAGAGGUUGGGCACCAAAGGGCAGAAGGGGCCGGGCGGGGGCUUUGCCAGCAGAGGGCCCUGCUACAUGGCGGAUGGGGUCUAUACAGCCUUCUCCUACUUCCAUUUCACCAGACUCUGUGUUGUUUACACUUUAAAAUAUUAUGAGGUACAGCAGAGAGAGAGGAAUGGUAUGAAAUGCAGCAGAAGUUUGACAGUAACAAAUAUAACUAGGUGGCAAAUGAAAACAAGAAGAUAAGAAUAGAUUAGGAUAUGAAGAAAAACAAGGUAUUUAAAAAAAAAAAGAGGAAGAGAAACUAAAAUCAAAAGAGGAAUUUAAAGAAGAUGACUUUUACUAAAGGGCUGGGAAUGGGAGGUGGCACAAAAAAACAAUUACCAUUCACAGGGGGAAGAUCUAGGUUUUGGGGGUCAGAAGCUUAAAUAGUUUGGGGAGGGGGCUUCCUCAGAAAACGAUUACAAAAUGAUGCAUACAAAAUUAAAAACGGGCCUUGGAAGAGGCCGCUGCCAAGGGUGGGCCCUGAAGCUUAAAUCAACAGCUUCACAGUAGAUGGUCUUGCCAGUUCGUGGUGGAGGCUCACUGACCGCCCCCAGAACGGCUUUGCCCCUCCCAUUCCCUUUCCAGAAGGCCUCCAGCACCAUGUGUGGGCGGGCCCUGCUCACCAUCCUCCCCUUGCCCUUUGGUGCACAUCACCAACUCCACAUUACUCCAGCACCAAAUACUCAUCCUAUUGCCUCUGCUUGGAAUGCCCCCUCAUUCGCACUCUCCACCUCCUCUUUCUACUCACGCCCCCAACUCCCCACACCUGGCUGGCUCCUGGCUCUCUGCACACUGCCGUCACAGGCCUUUCCUAUGGUAGGGGGUAAGGCUUCUGCUGACCAACUGCCAUUGGCUGCCUGCCCCCACCGCCCGCACACUGUAUACUCCAGUAAUUAGGAGCAUGGGCUCUGGAGCAGACAGCUUGGUUCUAAAUUCUGCUUGUGCAACCUGGAGCAAAUAGCUUAACCUUUCUGAUCCUUCUUCACGUCUAAGAGGGAAAUAACCACAGUGCUUAUCUCAUCGAGUUGUUGUGAGGGGUAAAGGCAGUGAUGCACAACAAGUCUUAGCCUGGGAUGUGGACAGUGAGUGUCAGUGGCGCCAAGCUCUGACAAGCACUGAAUCCAUUCUUGGACCUCCUGUGCCUGGCAUGGUGCCAGGUGUUUAGGCAGCUUCAAUGAAUUGAACCAAAACACAUGCUUUGGAUUAACCUGGGGAAGGGCAGUGUAAAUGACUAAGAAAUGAAUAUUAUAAAAUGCUUUUUCUCCCCGUCAAAAUUAAAAUAGCUAUCUUCUUGAUGAUAAAAAGAAAGGCAUGCUAAAAUGCAAAAGUAUAAGAAUAAAGUAAAAUUACCAAUUGCUUGGCUAACAUUUAUCAUAUAAAUAGAAACUUUUGAGAGUGAAUGGGCAUGCUCUUAUAAUAGACUGUCCCAAGCAGACCAGGAAAUAUAGUCAUCCCACCUAGAACCUUCACUCCCCAAAGAUGACCAUGGUGAGCAUAUUUGUUAUAUAAUCUUCUGGCCUUUUUCCCCUAACACUUAUGUUGUAAAUACUGUUUUCUAACCUGCUUUUCUUUUACUUAACAAUAUGUUGUGAAAUCCUUUGAUCGUAAGUAAUAGAUCUUUUCUACUAUUUUUAAUGACUGCAUAUUAUUCCAUUUGGAUAUACCAUAGUUUAUUUAACUCAUCCUCUGUUGAUGGAUAUUUAGAUUGUUUCCAAAUUUGGAGAAUUACAAAAUAUUUAUAAAGAAAUUUCAAGUUGCUUGCUAUCACUUUAGAUUGGAAUUUUGUGGGGACAAUAUUUGGGUGGCCAAUUAUUUUCUCUAAGGUGCUUUGCUCACCACAGUGGAUGUGUCUGUCACCUCCAGAGUCUUUGUUAUACCUUGAGGGCUAGCUAGCUGUUCUCCCUAAGGGUAUAUGCAGAGAGAAGUUAGCAUAUCUUCCCCCCUCAGUUAAGUGGGAUUACACACAGACACUUUUUUUAAAAAAUUAAAACAACUAAGCAAAAACAGUAACUAAUAUUACUGACAAUUUGAAUGGGUGACACACAAUUUGCUCAAGAGGUAAAGAACCAUGAAUGCGAGUCUUUAAUUAGGUACCUUCCUUACUGGCCCUUAAUUCUAUGGCUGCUUGAGUAAAAUGUUUUGUUCAUUCAUUCAUAAACUACUAAUCACACUCUUGUGCCAGUCAUAGAGAAGCUUUCUGCAAUCUAAAGCAAGUAGUGUAAAACCUCAUUUGUGUGGAUGCCUCUGAAUCAGUAGAGGACUUUUACUGUGCUCAUGUUUGGUGUCAUUCACUCAAAUACUUUGCUGUAAUUAAGAAUACCAGUUACUAUUUCUGCCAAGUGUAUCUUGUGUAGAACUCGAAGACACAUGAGCCCCUGGAUAUCUUCAAAGGAUAUAGCCAAGAGAACUUUGCAAUCUCUAAUUGUGGGGACUCCAUAGUAGUGCUUCUUGAGGAGUUUUGUGGAAACAAAUAGGUAGAGAAAAACAAAGCUGUGCCAAGAUGCAGGUGCUGAUGCUGGGCCUCACACAGGGCACCUAGCAGGUCACAGUGGCCUAGAAUGCUGACGAUUUCUCGAUGGACUGGGUAUUUAACAAUAGUUUCAAAGUAGUAUAAUGAGCCAAGACUUGAGAGGGCCUAUUGGUAAAGAGAUAAAGAGAGUUCUAAGUCAAAAAUGAAGAGAUGCAGAGAAGUAUUUCAGGGCGGAGAGAAGGUUAAAGAUGGUCAAGCUAAACAGAGCCAGGCUUACAUUAUGCCCCACCUUAAAACGGAUGUGAUAUGGAGAAGCCUCAGGUGAGUGUAUUAGGUUUUUGCUAUGCAGCAAAUUACUCCCCACUCCGUGGCAUAAAACUAUACCCAUUUCUUAUCUCACAGUUUCUGUGGGGGAGAAGUCAGGGUACAGAAUAGCCGGGUUCUCUGCUCAGGGUCUCUUGCAAAGAUGAAAUCAAGGUCCUGGCAGGGCUGUGUUCUCAUCUGGGGCCCAGGGUUCUCUUCCACAUUCGUUCAGGUUAUUGACAGAAUGCAGCUCCUUAUCACUGUAGGACUGAGCCCGGUGUUCUUGCUGGCUAUGGCAGGGGUGGCUCUUUGUUCCUAAGGCUGCCCUCAGGUCCAAUCUACAUGGCUCCCUCCAUAGGCAAUUCACAGCAUGGCUGUUCGUUUUCUACCAGACCAGCAGAAGAAUGUCUGUGGCUGCUUCUUGUUUCUUUUCAUUUCUCAGCUGAUUAGGUCAGGUCUAUCCAAGAUAAUCUCCCUUUUGAUUAACUCAAAGUUAACUGAUUAGAAACCUUAGUUAUACCUGCAAAAUCCUUUGUGCCCAUAUAAGGCAACCUUCACAGGAAUAGAGGCCAUCAUAUUCACAGGUCCUGCCUGCACCCAAGGGUGUACACCAGGGAGCAGAAUUUUUGGGGGACAUCUUAGAAUUCAGCCUGCCACAACAAGAUAAAUCAAAACAAGAAAAAGUAUUUUAUUGUGGGACUUAGGGUCACUUGGUUUUUUAAACAGGAAUGCAGGAAACUCAGUGCAUGCUGUUGUAAAUAUUCUGGUGAUAACAAUUAUGAACUUUGAACAGCAGAAUGAAAAUCUCCAGGAAGCAUAUCACUGGGCCAUCCCCUUGGUUAAAGUCUUAGGUUAGGGAGCAGUAGAGGAAGGGGAGUGUGGCAGGGUUUGAGUGAGGAUAGCAUUCCAAUCUUUCUGCUGGGGCCUGGUGAGCUCAUUAUCUAAGACUACCAGUCAAGUCUUCAGAUUAAAGAUGACUGGCAAUGCCCAGGAGAAAGUCUUGAGGGAGUGGGCUCUUAGCAGACAAUAGUCAGGAUGGUGUGUGGUUUCUGGAGCCUUGCAGAAGAGGAGUGCAUGCAGAGUGAGGGGGUAGGGUGAUGGGAAGAUGUGGGAAAAUGUUAGUUUAACCUUUGGUACCCAAGACAGGGUGCCCACCUUUAACCUCCACACUCUCUCUUAAAGGACAGACACUCAAGAUGUUGUAUUUGAAAAGGCAACUGAUAGAGGAGUCAGCUUCAUCCCAGACCUGCUCCCCUCUUGCCUGCCAGAGAGUCUGAUGGGUAGACAAAUGAAGUACCCUUGAGGAAGCUCCAGGAGUGCCAAUAACCAUCUUACACAGGACUACCAUUUAUCUAACAAAUCUCAGGCUGCUAAGUGCCCCAUCGUCACAAACUUCGACAUUCCUUCAGGGGUCAAAAUCAAGGGAGAGGGGAAGCAGGGCAUUCGUAAGGCCCUUCCUAUUCUGAAAAGAUGCCCUCCUCAGCCAGACUCCAGAGGGGGAGGGGAGCAGGAAUCCUCGUAAUCAUGAGGACCGAUCAGAUAAAUCCAGAUGGAGAGGCUCCCUUAAGCACAUGAGGCCCAGCCUCUGAAACUCCUGGUGGUCACUGUCCUGUGUUGUGGGUUUAGCCCCUUAAACACAUGUUCGAAAAGCUGAUGGACAGACUUCCAUUUGCAACUACUAUAUGCCAUCGGCAUCAGGCUAAGGUCUCGGUGGAACCAAAAAGAAACAAGAUUCUGAAACCCCGGAGUCUGCAGGAACUUAAACCACCCACACCUGGGAAACUACAAAGCAGUGGGGCAGUGGCGAUCCUGCUGGGUUGUGUGGCUGCGCUAAUGAUCGGCAGGUGGCUAGGCUUGCUCGUUAGUGAUAAGGAGCCCCCUCCUUGUAGGGCUCAAGACUUAAAAAAUGCUUCAGUAGAGGGGCAGCUUGCACAGCUCAUGACCUUCGGAGUUACUUAGGAAGAGUGCUACGUAACAGGGUUGUGAACCCUGAGUUUCCUGGGAUGUCAUUAUACAUCUAGGAGUUUAAUCCAGGACUUACCCCCUCAACCUCAACCUCAGAUGUGUCCCCAGGGACCAUGAAGACAUUGCUAUGGGAGAAAGGUCUCUGUUCUUUCAAGAGGACCUCCAUAAUUGUUAUAAGCUUUAGGCCUCACAAAACCUGGAUCUACUGCUGAGAACACACAAGGUGCUCAACAAAUACGUACUGAAUAAAUGAAUGAACAAACCAGUGUGAACUAGGAAACCAGUGAACUAGAAAACCAGUGUUCUUUGGAAUAUGCAUUGGAAGACACUGCCCCAGAGAUAGGAGACUCCAGACAGGAGACUCCAGUCAGGAGGGCCCAAUGGUUAUUCUUCACAUUAGAUUAAGGAGGCAGAAGAAAGGAAUAAAAUCUCACCUGGGAAAGACAAUAACUGCAAAAUAUUGGAGUUGGAAAUAAAGUCCAGUUGGUUUAUGGUUGAUGAUGCAGGUUCACCAGUGCCUUGUUCUCACCAGUUAGGAUUUACCUGAUGUCACAUUGGAAAUUUUCAUCAUGAGGGUUCAGAGGGCAAGCGAAAAUCACAGUGCAAUGUUCAGUCACCUCACUUAGCCAUGGAGCUUCCUGAGGAGGGUCCUGGUGCUCCUGGACUGAGACCCUCAGCAGCUCCUGGGCUGGCCAUUGCUCUGCUAACCUGGAAUGGACAAACUGAGUUCUGGCAGUGUUGGAUCAUUUACAGAGUUCCAUAAAACCCAGGGCUACCCCAGUCUAACCCUUCCCACCAGUUUUCCCCCUUUCAAUUCUAAAUUCAGGUUUGACCCUUAAGUAAUGAGGCAGAAUUUUUAAUAGUCCCAUCGGACGUCACAUGUCCAGAUGAACAUUGCCUUUUAAAGACGGUACUUUGGGGAGCAGCACACCGGCUCCAAUACAGCUGUUACUAAUAAAAAUGUUUGUGGCCCUC